rnacentral:rRNA from 1 species
UACGUAGGGAGCAAGCGUUGUUCGGAUUUACUGGGCGUAAAGGGCGCGUAGGCGGCGCGGUAAGUCACUUGUGAAAUCUCUGAGCUUAACUCAGAACGGCCAAGUGAUACUGCAGUGCUAGAGUGCAGAAAGGGCAAUCGGAAUUCUUGGUGUAGCGGUGAAAUGCGUAGAUAUCUGGAGGAAUACCGGUGGCGAAGGCGGCAUCCUGGACCAAUACUGACGCUGAGGCGCGAAAGCUAGGGGAGCAAACGGG